rnacentral:lncRNA from 1 species
CGAAAAUGUCACGCUGAGUAAGAUUGCUCAGUACAGCUCCUCUCUACAAGAGAGCCAGAAGGACUAACACUCUUUCCUCAGUCUCAGGAUCCUACUUGAUACUGUUGCAGAGAGCAAUGGGAGGGACAGUGGCUACAUGGUAUUUCUUUUCCACAAGCAUCACCAGCAUGUCCUCUACCUUCAGAACUCCAAGCUUCUCUACAGAACUCCCCUGAGUGAGAGCUGCUCGCUGUCCUCCUGAUGUGUUUUCUUUUAUUGUGUGGAUAGAUUGUGGUUUUGUGCACAUUUAAGUUUCUCCUUAGCGAACAAUUCCUUGAUGCUAAACAUUUGAGUAUUUCUGACCCUUGGCCAUGCAAUUCUCAGGC